rnacentral:rRNA from 1 species
UACAGAGGGGGCAAGCGUUGUUCGGAAUUACUGGGCGUAAAGGGCGCGUAGGCGGCCUUCUAAGUCGAACGUGAAAUCCCCGGGCUCAACCCGGGAACUGCGUCCGAUACUGGAAGGCUUGAAUCCGGGAGAGGGAUGCGGAAUUCCAGGUGUAGCGGUGAAAUGCGUAGAUAUCUGGAGGAACACCGGUGGCGAAGGCGGCAGCCUGGACCGGCAUUGACGCUGAGGCGCGAAAGCCAGGGGAGCAAGCGGG